rnacentral:misc_RNA from 1 species
AAGUCGUAACAAGGUUUCCGUAGGUGAACCUGCGGAAGGAUCAUUCUUGAUUAUGCUAGCUAAUGCUAUCAUAAAAAUUGUGAACUGUUACCGUCUACUUGACGACCGAAAGGCUGUCAUAUGGACUAUUUAUUUUAAUAUACUAAUAACUUUUUAUACCAGCAAUAAUGCUAUAUUACACAACUUUUAGCAAUGGAUCUCUAGGCUCUC